AUAUAAUUUCGCUACAAAUUUUUUGAUGUGUGGUUUUGUUUUGGUGGUUUUUGCCUGGGCUGGUGGUGUAGAGAAAUUCGCGCAGGCUGAAACCUUAAUCGACUAUGUACACACUCAAUAGUCGAUUAAGCUAAUCGACUAUGCUCUGAAAGUCGAUUAAGGUUGAUCGACUCCCAAUUUUUUAUUUUUUUUUUGGAUUUUUUGUUUAUUGAUUCCAAUUGUAUAAAUCAAUUAUAAUGUUUGUAUAUUUUUUGUAUUUUGUAAAAUAUAG
rnacentral:lncRNA from 1 species